UCAUGACCCGAGCCGAAGGCAGAUGCUUACCCGACUCAGCCACCCAGGUGCCCGCCAGCUCAAAUUCUGCCCAGUUCUCUGACUCAUGGACCGAAGAGUAGGUUCUCAUAACCCCCCGGAGAUGACGAGUCCUCAGAGAGAAUCCCCUGGUGAGUUUCUGCAGGGGAAAGAGGAAGAAUUAAGUUGGGUGAGGACUGACCAAGCACGGAGCCCAGCACCAGGUUCUGGAAGGUCAAAUCUGGACUCCAUGGCGUUGCACCUGGACUCCUGGCACGGCUGAGGCAAUAUUCGGGAGGGAGAGGAGAGUCGUUCAUUCACUGCCUGCCUUGCCCAGACAAUGAGCUCUGCUCCUACCCACUCUGGGGAAGUUGCUGAGGACAUAAAAUAAAUCAGGAUGGAAGCCAGACACCAUGCCUCUUUACUCCUCAUUCGUACUUAGUUUUUCCUUCAUAUAAAUUUGGGUUUCGUGCCUCUCACUUUGUGGGCUAUGUCAGUGCUCCAAAGAGGCUCGUGAAGGGGACCAGCUGCCCGGAUACCAGCAGGAGCUGCUGUAGCUACAGAUUUGAGGCGCACACCUGCAUGGAGUUGGGUGACAGGGGAUUUGUCAGGGAAGGGCGGAUCAUGCAACAUCAGGGCUCUCAAGCCAGAGGGAUGGAUGGCUCGGGGGUGGCAAAUGGGAUAUCCCGCUGCUCACCUGGAGGUCAUGGGAUCACACCUGACUUGAAUUAGUCAAAAGGAUUCCAGGAUGAGGGUGAGUUGGUCGUUUAUGAAUGAGAUGAUUAGCUGGCUGUAACA